rnacentral:rRNA from 1 species
CCUACGGGCGGCAGCAGUGAGGAAUAUUGGUCAAUGGGCGGAAGCCUGAACCAGCCAAGUCGCGUGAGGGAUUAAGGCCCUGCGGGUCGUAAACCUCUUUUGCCGGGGAGCAGAGGUCCGGACGUGUCCGUGCCUGGAUAGUACCCGUAGAAAAAGCAUCGGCUAACCCCGUGCCAGCAGCCGCGGUAAUACGGAGGAUGCGAGCGUUAUCCGGAUUGAUUGGGUUUAAAGGGUGCGUAGGCGGGCAUUUAAGCCGGCGGUCAAAUGUCGGGGCUCAACCCCGGCCUGCCGUCGGAACUGGGUGCCUUGAGUGGGGGAGAAGUAUGCGGAAUGCGUGGUGUAGCGGUGAAAUGCAUAGAUAUCACGCAGAACCCCGAUUGCGAAGGCAGCAUACCGGAGCGCUACUGACGCUGAGGCACGAAAGUGCGGGUAUCGAACAGGAUUAGAUACCCGGGUAGUC